GGCAGACGGGUGAGUAACACGUGGGAACCAUCCCUGAAGUACGGAAUAACCAUUGGAAACGAUGGCUAAUACCGUAUACGCCCUACGGGGGAAAGAUUUAUCGCUUCAGGACGGGCCCGCGUCAGAUUAGCUAGUUGGUGGGGUAAAAGCCUACCAAGGCUACGAUCUGUAGCUGGUUUGAGAAGAUGACCAGCCACACUGGGACUGAGACACGGCCCAGACUCCUACGGGAGGCAGCAGUGGGGAAUCUUGGACAAUGGGCGAAAGCCUGAUCCAGCCAUGCCGCGUGAGUGAUGAAGGCCUUCGGGUUGUAAAGCUCUUUUAGUGGGGAAGAUAAUGACGGUACCCACAGAAAAAGCCCCGGCUAAUUUCGUGCCAGCAGCCGCGGUAAUACGAAAGGGGCAAGCGUUGCUCGGAAUCAUUGGGCGUAAAGCGCGCGCAGGUGGCUAUGCAAGUUAGAAGUGAAAGCCCGGGGCUCAACCUCGGAAUUGCUUCCAAAACUGCAUGGCUUGAGAAUG
rnacentral:rRNA from 1 species